rnacentral:lncRNA from 1 species
UUUAAGGCAGGACUUUAAGGUAGUAUUGGGCAAGUUAUUGGAUGCAUCAGUUAGAAUCCUGUUUAAUACAGGAGCCUCGCAUUCUUUAAGUGUUUGAAGCAUGUUACCUUCAAACUCGAACCAAAACGAGCUAGUCCCAAGUUGAGAGUAAUCACUCCUGUAGGAAGAGCUACUACAGUUUCUCACAUGAUUUCUAAAUUAGAGUUUGAGUUAGGAUCACUAAAGAUGAAAACAAG